rnacentral:lncRNA from 1 species
UUAACAAAUGAAAGAACCUUCGACGUGGAAGAUACCAAUGUGCAAGCAGAGAAAAAUGUCGAAUCAAAUGAGAACUUGGAGGAGACUAUUCCAACAGCAGCGGAUGAAGGCGAAACAUCCCUGCAGGAAGCUGAAGCAGAAGGCAAGGAUGAGAUUAAAAGUACUGAUAUUGCUCAUGCAGAUACUGAUGGACAUGGAGAUGAAAUUGAUAAUUCUGAAGAGAACUUGGAUAAGCAGAUCCCAGCAGGCGAACGUGAAAUAAGCUUGAAAGCAGCCGAAGCAGAAUAUAAGGAGCAGGUCAAACAUGCUGAUAUUGUUCCUGAAGAGGAGGGUCUAGCAACCGUCUUAACAGACGAAACACCCUUAGAUGUCGAGGAUAUUGAGGUAAAAACUGACUGUGUCGAAUCAAAAGAGAAUGUGGAGGAGCAGAUUCCAACAACAGUAGAUGAAGGCGGAAAAAGUACUUAUAUUUCUCCUGAAGAUAUUGAAGUACAAGCAGAUGAAAAUUUUAUUACACUAGAGAAUUUGGAGAAGCCAAUUCUAACAACAUCAGGUGAACGAGAAACAGGCUUGGGAGAAGCUGAAGCAGAAAUUAAGGAGCAGGUCAAAAGUAUUGAUAUUGUUCCUGAAGAGAUGGCAACCAUCUCAACAGCUGAGACACCCUCGGAUGUUGAAGUUAUCGGUGUACAAGCAGAGGAAAGCCUCAAAUCAAAAGAGAGCGUGGAGGAGCAGAUUCCAACAGCAGCGGAUGAAGAUGAAAGAUUCUUGAAGGAAUCCAAAGCAGAAAACAAGGAGCUGAUCGACGAGGAAAAUUUGAAUUUACAAGAACAAGUGACUGAAAUUACAAACACAAUAGAAGAUGACACUGAAAGGGAGGAGGUAAGAUCGGAAUAAAUUUUUUUAUGAGUUUUUCUCUCUGGCUUACCAUCUGACAAGUAGUCUCCCUACACGGUUUUGUUAUUGAUUAAGAUGCAAGAUUCAUAACGUAUCACAGAUGCAUAUGAACAUGCGAAGAAACUAUGUUUUAUUUUAAAAUGGUAAGAACGAUUUCUAAAAUCUAUUUUCUCCUUAUAUAUUAUGAUGGUUUCAUCUCUAAUGUAGGUGCUUGAGACUACCAGUACGGAGCAAGAAACUGGAGAACAUGUGGUACACGAAAUUCAUACUGUCCCAGAACCCCCUCGAGACUCCAUUGAUAAAGAAACAAAUGAAGACAACUCCGCGGAAUAUCAGGUUUACCUGGACACAAACAUAAGGCCUACAAAAGUGUGAUCCUUUUUCUUCGUCUCCCAGUACAUAACCUUUGUUUUUUUUUUCCCUUCCAAUGUUAGGCAUGUACUGAGGCAGCUGAUUUGAGUACAAGUGCAGAGGAAAAGAACUUAGAGGAACAUGCCAUUCGGGAACUCUCUUCUCCACUGGUAGUAGAAGAAGCAACUAAAGAAAUCCCGAAAGAAGAAGAAACCUACCCCACGCUUCUAGAAGAAGAGGUAAUCUAGCAUUCAAUAUCAAAUUUUUAGAUUAAAAUACACUAUAGUAUUAUCUUGCAAAUUGAAAUUUACAACUCAUAUCGGCAACAGGAAAAGGAAGGGCAUGCAACAUGUAACAAGCCCAAUGAGGAAUAUGAGGCAGAGAUUGAGAAAAAUAUUCAGGAGAAAGAUGGCAACACAGUUAGCAAUUCUGAAUCUCUGUCUGGAGAACUGAGUCAUGUAACAGCCUUGAAGGAAUGUGAAACAGAGAUUGAAAGGCAGGACAGGAACAUUGAUACUGCUCCUGAAGAGAAGGGUCAAGCAACCAUCUCAGCAGAUGAAACAGCCUCGGAAGUUGAGGAUAUUGAUGUACAAUUAAAGGAGAACCUUGAGUCUAAAGAGAACUUGGAGGAACAAUUUCCAACAGCAGCAGAUGAAGGUGAAAUAAUCUUGAAAGAAGCUGAAGCAAAAAACCAGGAGCAGAUAAAAAAUGUUGAAAUUGCUCAUGAAGAUGUUGAUGCACAAGCGGAGAAAACUGUCAACUCAGAAGAGAACAUAGAUAAGCAGAUUCUGCCAAUAGCACAUGAAGGUGAAACAAGCUUGAAAGAAACCGCUGUCUUGAUUCUAAAAGAAGAGGUUAGCAUGAUAUCAGAAUUUUCGAUUUUUACAUUAUAGUUCAUUGUAUUACAUAUUCCAAUCAAGAAUUGGUAUCCCCCUGCAGAUAAAGGAAGAAGAUACAGAAUGUAAUGAGCCUGCUGAGGUAGCGAGUAUGACACAUGAAACACGAUCUGAAACCACAGAGGACAUAACAGAGCCAAAUAAGGACGUCAAUGCUCCAAUUUCAGGAGAAAGCAACAAAACAUUUGUUGAAAAUAUUUCCACACUCGCUGAGGUAUCUGAGACGGGGACUGAGAAAAAUGUUCAGGAGAAAAAUGGCCCGGCUGUCAGCAAUUCUGACUCUGCGUCAGGUGAAGUGAGUCAUGUAACAGGUUUGAAGGAAGCUGAAACAGAAAAGGAGGAGCAGAAAGAAAACAUUGAUACUGCUCCGGAAGAGAAGGUUCAAGCUACCGUCUUAAAAGAUGAAAUGGCCUCGGAAGUUGAAGAUAUUGGUGUACAAGCAGAGGAAAAUUGUGAAUCAAAAGAGAAGUUGGAGGAGCAUAUUCCAACAGCAGCAGACAAAGUUGAAACAUUCUCAAAGGAAGCCGAGGCAGAAAAUGAGGAGCAGAUAAACAAUGGUGAUGUUGCUGCUGAAGAGAAGGUUUCGGAAACCAUCUUAACAAAUGAAAGAACCUUCGACGUGGAAGAUACCAAUGUGCAAGCAGAGAAAAAUGUCGAAUCAAAUGAGAACUUGGAGGAGACUAUUCCAACAGCAGCGGAUGAAGGCGAAACAUCCCUGCAGGAAGCUGAAGCAGAAAGCAAGGAUGAGAUUAAAAGUACUGAAGCAGAAAGCAAGGAUGAGAUUAAAAGUGCUGAUAUUGUUCCUGAGGAGAAGGGUCUAGCAACCGUCUUAACAGAUGAAACACCCUUAGAUGUCAAGGAUAUUGAGGUAAAAACUGAGGACUGUGUUGAAUCAAAAGAGAAUGUGGAGGAGCAGAUUCCAACAACAGCAGAUGAAGGCGAAAAAAGUACUUAUAUUUCUCCUGAAGAUAUUGAAGUACAAGCAGAUGAAUUUAUUACACUAGAGAAUUUGGAGAAGCCGAUUCUAACAUCAGGUGAACGAGAAACAGGCUUGGGAGAAGCUGAAGCAGAAAUUAAGGAGCAGGUCAAAAGUAUUGAUAUUGUUCCCGAAGAGAUGGCAACCAUCUCAACAGCUGAGACACCCUCGGAUGUUGAAGUUAUCGGUGUACAAGCAGAGGAAAGCCUCAAAUCAAAAGAGAACAUGGAGGAGCAGAUUCCAACAGCACCAGAUGAAGGUGGAAAAUUCUUGAAGGAAUCCAAAGCAGAAAACAAGGAGCUGAUCGACGAGGAAAAUUUGAAUUCACAAGAAUCUUCAGACAAAGGAAAACAAGAAGUGACUGAAACUACUAACACACUAGAAGAUGACACAGCAAGGGAGGAGGUAAGAUUGGAAUAAACCUUUUCAUGAAUUUUUCUUUCGGUCUUAUCAUCCGACAAGUAGUUUCCUUAACGCGGUUUAGUUAUUGACCGAAAUGCAGGAUUCAUAACGUAUCACUGAUAGAUAUGAACAUGCGAAAAAACAAAGUUUUAUUUAAAAUGGCACAAACGAUUUGUAAAAUCUAUUCUCUCCUACAUAUUACGACGGUUUCAUCUUUAAUGUAGGUGCUUGAGAAUACCUGCACGGAGCAAGAAACUGGAGAACAUGUGGUACACGAAAUUCAUACUGUCGUGGAAACCCCUCGAGAUUCCGUUGAUAAAGAAACAAAUGAAGAGAACUCCGCGGGAUAUCAGGUUUACCUGGACACAAACAUAAAGCCUACAAAAGAGUUAUCCUUUUUCUUCGUCUCCCAGUGCAUAACCUUUGUGUUUUUUUCCUUCCAAUGUUAGGCAUGUACUGAUGCAGCUGAUUUGAGUACAACUGCAGAGGAAAAGAACUUAGAGGAACAUGACAUUCAGGAACUCUCUUCUCCGCUGGUGGUAGAAGAAGAAACUAAUGAAAUCCCGAAGGAAGAAGAAACCUACGCCACGCUUCUAGAAGAAGAGGUAAUCUAGCAUAGGAUAUCAAAAUUUUAGAUUAUUACAUUAUAGUAUUAUCUUGCAAAUUCAAAUUUACAGUUCAUAUCCACAACAGAAAAAGGAAGGGCAUGCAACAUGUAACGAGCCGACUGAGAAAUAUGAGGCAGAGAUUGAGAAAAAUAUUCAGGAGAAAGAUGGCAACACAGUUAGCAAUUCUGAAUCUCUGUCUGGAGAACUGAGUCAUGUAACAGCCUCGCAUGAAUCUGAAACAGAGAUUGAAAGGCAGGACAAAAAUAUUGAUACUGCUGCUGAAGAGAAGGGUCAAGCAACCAUCUUGAAAGAAAACAUUGAUACUGCUCCGGAAGAGAAGGGUCAAGCAACCAUCUUGAAAGGUAAAGCGGCCUCGGAAGUUGAAGAUAUUGGUGUACAAGCAGAGGAAAAAUGUGAAUCAAAAGAGAAUUUGGAGGAGCAUAUUCCAACAGCAGCAGACAAGGUUGAAACAUUCUCGAAGGAAGCUGAGGCAGAAAAUGAGGAGCAGAUAAACAAUAGUGAUGUUGCUGCUGAAGAGAAGGUUCUGGAAACCAUCUUAACAAAUGAAAAAUCCUUCGACGUGGAAGAUACCAAUGUGCAAGCAGAGAAAAAUGUCGAAUCAAAUGAGGACUUGGAGGAGAAUGUUCCAACAGCAGCAGAUGAAGGUGAAACAUUCCCGAAGGAAGCUGAAGCAGAAAGCAAGGAUGAUAUUAAAAAUGCUGAUAUUCCUCAUGCAGAUAUUGAUGGACACGGAGAUGAAAUCGAUAGUUCUGAAGAGAACUUGGAUAAGCAGAUUCCAGCAGGGGAAUGUGAAACAAGCUUGAAAGCAGCCGAAGCAGA